UUUUGUAAGAAUAACCAUGGCGAAAAACUUCUCUCGAGUUCACCGGGGUAACAAACACCAACAAAAAUUCUACUCUUGUUUACUCCCACACUUCCGUGAAGAAAUAUCCUCCUCCUUCUAUAUAAAGCCUGUAAUAACUCAAGCAAGUUCACGCAGUUUCUUGUCACUUGAACAUAGAGAUAGGCAGAGAAAAUAUGGCAACUAAGAUGAUGCUUCAGUGUGUCUUAGAAGGAAGCAUAUCAGUGCAUGACAUGGAGGUUGAGCAUAGGCCAUACCACCGUAAUUGCAGCUGUGCAAUGCACAAGAUGAAGGGUAGUUGCUCCAACGACGCUUGCUCUCAUCAGUCGAAUAUUUCGUUCCCCAGGAAACAGCCUCAAUCUUGUUGCUGGCUCAACACUACGGAACAAAGAAGACUGAGUGCACCAUUUCAUGCAAAGUACACAAACAUACAUAGCUCAGGCUGCUCAGCAGUCAGCACAGCACAGCAAGAAGAAAAGAGGGGAAACCGUGGAACUAAAGCAUGUCAUAUCUACCUGACAGAAAGCUCGGAGCAAGAUGAUUUUCUCAGUACCCUGUAUAGUUUCUUCUAGGCCAAAUGAAAGGAGAAAAGAACCUAAAAUAAAAAUUUCAUCGCAUGUCAAACCUGUCAAUACUCAUUGUUAUCAUAUUCUCCCAUAUGCCAUAAUAAAACCAUUGGCAGAGCAUGAUUUGUGUGACAUGUUCCAAAUGACAGCUCGCAAAAAUAUCGAAAUUUAUAGGUUUUGUGAUUCUCUCACGGUUUUCCAACUUUGGAAAAUUGUAAAUGAUUACCGUUCGGACUUUGGUAUAUACCAUCUUUCUAUAUCUCACCUUCUUUUUCUUUUUCUUUUUUUAUGCCAUCCAGCGUUCCAGACUGUCGAAGGUGCCUUCUCUUCAUAAUGUCACCAUUUUGCAAAUGACUAUCCUCUAAUUUUGUCCUAAAGAUUAUAAACCGAUAUAACUCCUAUGAUGGAAGCAGAGCAACCCAGAAGCAAGCUCACCAACUUCUCAACUUCAUUCUUGUUUCAGUAGUUUUCGACACGCUGUGUGGUUAAAUCCGAGGGUAAGGUCGAUAAGAGAAUAUUGAAGCAGAGCAACUCCAACUUGCUUUGUUGUAUAUCAGCAACAACCUCUUCUUAAUUUCAUUCUUGUUUUAGUGCUUCCUUGAAUUUAUGGGUGAAGAUCAUGAGGAAGGCUAGUUUAAUUUUCUGCUUCCUUCACCACAUUUUAACUAAAUGGUAAAUUUUCAGAUUACCUCGGCCACAUUAACAAACUCGUGAAUUCCUC